rnacentral:rRNA from 1 species
UACGUAGGGUGCAAGCGUUGUCCGGAAUCAUUGGGCGUAAAGCGCGCGUAGGCGGCCCUGUAAGUCCGUUGUGAAAGUCAAAGGCUCAACCUUUUGAAAGCCGAUGGAUACUGCAGGGCUAGAGUCCGGAAGAGGCGAGUGGAAUUCCUGGUGUAGCGGUGGAAUGCGCAGAUAUCAGGAGGAACACCAAUAGCGAAGGCAGCUCGCUGGGACGGUACUGACGCUAAGGCGCGAAAGCGUGGGGAGCGAACAGG